GCCAUACGAGUCUGGAAAGCCAUGCUCAAAGUGUCCAGAUAAUCUAUCAUUGUGUGAGGAUGACAUGUGCGUGGCUGAGAAUCUCUUUAAUUCAUCUGAGAAGCCCGAGUCAGACGACACCGAAGCUCCGACUGUCUUACCUGAGCAUCCACGAAUGACGACAGAGCCUGUCGCUGUUCCUGAAGAGCCAACUCAAGUGCACGUUAAAAUUGAGAGAGGGAUAGAAAGUGAAGUGAGCCAUGGAUCCAAGAUGGAAAGCAUCUCCGCUUCUCUGGUGAUGCUCGUCUGGCUGCUGGCGGCUCUUGUUUUGUGAAGGUUUGAAGUGGAUGAGAACCUGAUGAGAGGCAAAAAAACAUUUGUUUUAAGGAAAAGUUCACCUAAAAAUGAAAAUUUGCUGAAAAUGUAUUCACCCCUAAGUCCAUCCAAAAUGUAGAUGAGUUUGUUUCUUCAACAGAUUUAGGAGAAAUUUAACAUUGCAUCACUUACUCACCAGUGGAUCCUCUGCAGUGAAUGGGUGCCGUCAGAAUGAGAGUCCAAACAGCUGAUAAAAACAUCACAAUAAUCCACAAGUAAUCCACACAUCACUCCAGUCCAUCAGUUAACAUCCUGUGAAGCCAAAAGCUGUGUGUUUAUAAGAAACAAAUCCAUCAUUAACACGUUUUAAUGUCUUUAAUAAGCACCAACCAGUGCUUCCAGCUAAAAUAUGAGUUCAUAAUCCAUAAUAUUGCUUUCUCCAGUCUUCUUGUCUGAAUUGGGAGAGAAAUAUGCACAGAUCAAGCACUAUUUACAAUCCAGAACAGUCCUAAACAAAUAUGUUUGUGGAUUUUGAUGUGAGAGAACAACAGGAGAUGGACUUUUUCACUGGAGGAAAGGUUAUUAUGGACUUGUAUUUUGCCAAGAUGUGAUGCUUAAAGUUAAAAACAUCUUAAUUUAUGGAUUUGUUUCUUACAACCACACAGCUUUUAACUUGGAAAAAAAAAACAUUAAAAACAAUUCACUACCAACAUGUCUUGGACAUUUUGACACUUUCUGAAAUGCUUUGCCCUGAGCCCUAAUUUCUGACACUUUCUUUGACGUCUACAUGGGUCUCAGAGAGGCUUAACAGAUAAAUGAACAGGUUUUUGCAGAUUAGGCCAAAUGAGUGCAAAUAUUUUUUUUUCCGCAAACACCAUUCAUCUCAUAUCUUGAGCGAUAUUGCUCUUAGCUGACAUUGGUAGGAUUUGUGCAUGUCUUAUAGUGACAAACAACAGAAUCUGCAAUGUACAAAACUUCUGACUCAUUAUGACCAAAGACUUGAAUUAAGGCUGCGAUGGCAUUAUUAUCCACUAUAAAACAUGGAAAAAAAAAAAAAGACCUAAAUUUAGGAUUUAUGCAUUUGAAUUACAUAAAAAAAAUUGGGCUGUAUUAAAUUUGCAUUUGGAUUAGUUU
rnacentral:lncRNA from 1 species